rnacentral:rRNA from 1 species
UACGUAGGGUGCAAGCGUUGUCCGGAAUUAUUGGGCGUAAAGAGCUCGUAGGCGGUCUGUCGCGUCGGAUGUGAAAAUCCAGGGCUCAACCCUGGACCUGCAUUCGAUACGGGCAGACUAGAGUUCGGUAGGGGAGACUGGAAUUCCUGGUGUAGCGGUGAAAUGCGCAGAUAUCAGGAGGAACACCGGUGGCGAAGGCGGGUCUCUGGGCAUUACCUGACGCUGAGGAGCGAAAGUGUGGGGAGCGAACAGG